rnacentral:lncRNA from 1 species
AUGAUGAAUUCGAAUCUGGAGGACGAUAGCAGCAACCAAAUAAUAAUUUCUCAAAGCGAGUCAUGCACACAACCCAUACAAUUUCUAUAUUCGUAGCAAACGCAAUCAAAUAAGCGGUUAUUGUCUUUUUAAUGCCUAUAAUUACGCCUCCACAUCUCCUGUUCGUGCGAUCAUAUCGGUAAAUAUUAUAAUUGUCUUGUAUGGGACCAAUUUCAUUAUGUGAAAUGUCAGGGUGAAGCCACAUCUCAGUGAAGAUGAUAAU